rnacentral:rRNA from 1 species
AACCCGACUCCGUGAAGCUGGAUUCGCUGUAAUCGCGCAUCAGCCAUGGCGUGGUGAAUACGUUCCCGGGCCUUGUACACACCGCCCGUCAAGCCAUGGGAGCCGGGGGUGCUUGAAGUGCGUCGCCGCGAGGCGCGCCCUAGAGCAAAACCGGUGACUGGGGCUAAGUCGUAACAAGGUACC